rnacentral:lncRNA from 1 species
UCAGAGAUCCCAUCCAUCAUCGUCAUCCUCCUUCUUUCUCCUAAAUACCAAAAAUGAAUUUGUUGAGAUUUUAUUGGGGGUGGGGGGUUUUGAACUGUAGACAUUUCUCCCUCUAAUUUGUUAUGUCCUCUAACCAUAAUCCAAUUUCUGGGUUUCCAUCCCCUUCCUCUUCUUCUUCUUCUUCUUCUUCUUCUUCCUUCCGUCGCCGUCGCC